GUUGUAUGGUUAAGUGACUAAGCGUACACGGUGGAUGCCUUGGCAGUUGGAGGCGAUGAAGGACGUAUUAACUUGCGAUAAGCCUAGUCAAGCUAGUAAAAAGCACUUGAGACUAGGAUUUCCGAAUGGGGAAACCCACCUGCUUGCAGGUAUCGUUAACUGAAU
rnacentral:rRNA from 1 species